rnacentral:tRNA from 1 species
UGGUCUAGCGGUUAGAACGCUGGCCUUGUAAGCCUGGGGUCUCGGGUUCGAUUCCCGG